GGCGCUACGGAAUCUGCCUGGUAGUGGGGGAUAACGUCCGGAAACGGGCGCUAAUACCGCAUACGUCCUGAGGGAGAAAGUGGGGGAUCUUCGGACCUCACGCUAUCAGAUGAGCCUAGGUCGGAUUAGCUAGUUGGUGGGGUAAAGGCCUACCAAGGCGACGAUCCGUAACUGGUCUGAGAGGAUGAUCAGUCACACUGGAACUGAGACACGGUCCAGACUCCUACGGGAGGCAGCAGUGGGGAAUAUUGGACAAUGGGCGAAAGCCUGAUCCAGCCAUGCCGCGUGUGUGAAGAAGGUCUUCGGAUUGUAAAGCACUUUAAGUUGGGAGGAAGGGCAGUAAGUUAAUACCUUGCUGUUUUGACGUUACCAACAGAAUAAGCACCGGCUAACUUCGUGCCAGCAGCCGCGGUAAUACGAAGGGUGCAAGCGUUAAUCGGAAUUACUGGGCGUAAAGCGCGCGUAGGUGGUUCAGCAAGUUGGAUGUGAAAUCCCCGGGCUCAACCUGGGAACUGCAUCCAAAACUACUGAGCUAGAGUACGGUAGAGGGUGGUGGAAUUUCCUGUGUAGCGGUGAAAUGCGUAGAUAUAGGAAGGAACACCAGUGGCGAAGGCGACCACCUGGACUGAUACUGACACUGAGGUGCGAAAGCGUGGGGAGCAAACAGGAUUAGAUACCCUGGUAGUCCACGCCGUAAACGAUGUCGACUAGCCGUUGGGAUCCUUGAGAUCUUAGUGGCGCAGCUAACGCGAUAAGUCGACCGCCUGGGGAGUACGGCCGCAAGGUUAAAACUCAAAUGAAUUUGACGGGGGCCCGCACAAGCGGUGAGCAUGUGGAUUAAUUCGAAGCAACGCGAGAACCUUACCUGGCCUUGACAUGCUGGAAGAACUUUCCCAGGAAGAAUGG
rnacentral:rRNA from 1 species